GGUGUGUAUGUGGUGUGUAUGAGGUGUGUAUGAGGUGUGUAUGAGGUGUGUAUGAGGUGUGUAUGAGGUGUGUAUGUGGUGUGUAUGAGGUGUGUAUGAGGUGUGUAUGAGGUGUGUAUGAGGAGUGUAUGAGGUGUGUAUGAGGUGUGUAUGAGGAGUGUAUGUGGUGUGUAUGAGGAGUGUAUGUGGUGUGUAUGAGGAGUGUAUGUGGUGUGUAUGAGGUGUGUAUGAGGUGUGUAUGAGGUGUGUAUGAGGUGUGUAUGAGGUGUGUAUGUGGUGUGUAUGAGGUGUGUAUGAGGUGUGUAUGUG
ensembl:lncRNA